UUCAUCCAAAGUGGAUCUCAUAUCUUAAUGUAAAGCAAUUCUUCCCACAGAUUUCAGAGUCUUUAAAACAAAUCUUCUGUGCUUAUUCUUCCCUCAUAUUUGAGUGUGCAGUUUUUUACUUCCUUUCAUUUGACUGUAGGCUGCUCUUCUCCCUCAGCAUAAACAAGUCGGUAAACAAGUCUGCUUUUUGCAAUUAACUUUCUGCAUUUCUAGUAAUGCUUCCCCCCCCUUCUUUACCUAGAAAGACCAGCAUUAUACAUGUGUAAUUUGCUGUUUAAACUAGCUAUAAGCAGAAGGCUUUCAACCUAGGGCUUGGCUUCUGUCUGAUGCUCUUCAUGUCUGAGCUACCUUUGUUCACAGCUUUAAUGUUAUAGUUCUUUUGGUGCUUCCCAAAUUUCUGUGUUCUUUACUUCCAUUGAAUACAACAACAUGACAAAUUAAUUGUAAUUUUUCAUGUGUACCUGGGUAUCUUCAUUGGCCUUUUUCCUCCUCCAAAAAUUACCUUAAGAAAUCAUUUUGUGUGAUGAGAAGGAGCAAACUGUUUGUGCUUCCAGUAGUGUUGUUUGACUGCCACAGCAGCGCUUUGGAACAGAGGAAGGCUCAAGGAAGAGUCAUAAAAACCUGCACCUCCAGGUAGAGGGAAGCCUGUACCCCCUUCAUGUAUGAUCUGAGAAAUCCUCAUUAGCCUGGGGACUGGAACCCCUUGACAGAUGCAUAUUGUACUUUUUAUCCUUGUCUUGCAAAACUUUCUGGAGCUAUGGAGUGGCUAAAUAAAGACAUUUUCCAUAGGAGGAAUGAGAUGGGUCACAUAUUUCUGUGAAGCAGAGAACUGACUAAAAGAUCUUGGAGAUGUUUUAAAAAAACAGUCAUAGGAAUGUCCUUCUUAGUUUUAAUAUAGCCAAGCUUUGUCACUUAUAGUAGGAGAGGAGUGGAUUCUUACUUUGUGAAACACAGCAGAAGAAAAGGGUGCAUACACCCCAAAACAGGGCUGGCUUUCCUCUGCAUUGGUAUCAUUAGUCCUUUCAACACGGAGGUGGAACUAUAUAUGCUUAGCUCUCUCCUGCAGUAAGGGCAAGUUGGGUUGGGAAUUGUUGAAAGAGAGGUAGUGAAGGAGCAGUGCUUUUGUUUUGAAAAACAUUGCUUUUCAAAGCAAUGUAACAUGCCUGUAACUAUUGACAAAGCUUUUAUUUGACAUAGCUGAGGAGAGAUGCUUACGCAUUUAAGUAUUUGCUUAGGUUCUACCAAUACUUCCUGGCAUGAGACUGGGUUCAUCCUCUCUGUUUAUUUAAGGCUUCAUUCUGCUGUGUUCAUUGACCUUUGAGCUCUAGACCUAAUUAUGCCUGAUUUCCUAUGAAUCCAUCCCUCGUGGCUGAUUGACUUUGGUGUGCAAAAAGAUGUAGACUUCUGCCAUCUUUUUCCUACACAUCACAUAAUUACCGAGUUUCUGUCUCUGAUGGAUUCUCUCAUUUCUAACAAGAGUGUUGCUAGGUGCUCUUAUAACACCUGUGAUACAACCUCGGCUCAGCUGAUUUUAGGAACCUGCAGAAGGAACUGUAGGAGAAACUGGCAGAAGGACCACAAGAGAGUUGUGUGCAGAUGAAGGCCCCCAGAAGAACAGAGAGGCCCAAAAGGUAGCAGGCAGCUGACACACGAGCAGUAGAGCUGAGCUUGUCUAGACACUUGUGCUACUCUGGAAAUACCAACUAUUUCUGAAGACUGUUUAAUUAUUCAGUGUGCUCUGGCUGCUUUAAAAUGUUAGGGAGUAAAUCAAACCAAAUAAAUCUUUUUUUCGUAGCUAUCAAAUUAAAGCAUGAGAAAGCAGAGAUUGAAGUAAUUUUCAUGCUCAAAUGAUGUAUUUUUUUAUAUCUUUAAUAUGCUACUUUUUCUUUAACCUUAAUUACAGGUUUUCUUGUUUUAUCAUUUUUAGUUUAGGAGUAAUAACGACAUCACUCUAAAGUCAUCUGGAAAAAAUUGUCUGGAUUUUACUCUACAUUAUGAAAUCCAUUUUCAAGUAGUUUUGUCAGUGACUAAUUCCAAGCAUUGGUUGAAACAAUUUUUGCGGAAAAUUAGAUACACAUUUUUAAACAAAAAGACUGAUUUCUGGGGAAAAUCUUGUUUUCUUUUAAAUUAACUAAUUAAAUACUCAGAAGUAGUCUCUUAGUCAACAACUGAAAAGCCUCACUUUGGUAAUACUCCCAUAUCUUCCUAUGGGAGCUGUAGCUCAAAUGAUUCAUUGUCCUCUGUUAGGAUUUGCUCUCUGUAAGGAGAUUGCAGCUCCAAGGAAGCACUGCAGGCAAUCGACAUGACAGGAGACUGACAGACACAGUCACAAGCCAAACCUGAAACCUCGGGUACAGCUCCAAGGAACCAGCAGGGUGACAUUUUCUAGACUCUAGCUUUUGGAACUCUUAGGGAAUAGCUGGAAACGUGGCUUCCUCUUGUAUUCCAAGAUUCUACACCUUUUCCUGCAACAUAAAAUUUCCAAGAGCAAUGGUCUAAAAAUUACUAUCAACUUGUCUUUCUCCUUGCUGCUUUGAAACUAGCAUUAUUCACACACUGGAACAUGGGAACAGCACAAGGUUUUGAUAUUGUGGAGUUUGGCACCAGUAGUACUGGUCGCACUAUCUUCCAGAAGUGUCAUCUGACAGCUAACUUAAAUCAUGUUAUACCUGGUGUCUGCACAUUUGUUUGCAUAUACCAAUGAGAAUUUAUAUAACCCUAAACUAUAUUGUAAAGAAAAUUCAUCCAUCAGUACAGCCUAAUAAACAGUCUUAUCUUACCUUAGGCUUCCACUCUUUUCCAUUCAACAUAUGGUUUCACUUUGAAAGAGCAGACUUACAAUAAAUGGUAUCAUCAGUAGGCUGAUAAGUGCUGUAAUUUGUAACACGACAUCUGUUUGAGGAAGAUUUCCCAUGCCUAGUCAAUGCUUAAUUGCUUUCUAAAAUAUUAACUUUUGCUGUAUGUUUAGGCAUUGAGUACUGUAUAGAGGAAAAGAAAUUAUGGUUCUUGCCUAUCUCUCCAAUAAUUUUAGUUUUUCAUUUAUUUUACAUGUACAUGCUGGUGUUUGGAUACUUAACAGAGAUGCUAACCUCAAGAUCCUUUGCACUUGAGACAAAUGGAAUCUUUACCUCAAUGGCCCUGGGUUUACUGCUCUUGUAAUGUUCUGAAAUAUCAAAAGUUCUGAAAUAGUGGAAUUUACAUUUCACAGUGCAAAUGUAGGAGAAUCACCAGGUCCUCCAUUGGGUGCUGCAAGGUUCCUGAAAACCUGCUGACCCAGAUGAAGACUUGGGCCUGUCUGUAUGAAACAUUUUGCUUGGAGGUCAAAUGAGGUGCAGAGGUGACAGAAAUCCUUGAGGUUUCUGAGGUUCCUUGUGACUUUCUUCUUUUUGUGACAUCACCAGAACACAUGCAGUUUCCACUUGAACCAUCAGUGCCUUUUGCCUAGGCAGUGAAAUAGGUCACUGCGGUGAGACUAUUUCUCCGUGGUAAUUAUGGAUGUAUCUACACAGCUCCCAAAAGAGACAAACCACACAUAUCUUUGAAAUAAUAAGGCUAGAAUAGGUCUAUGCUCAGUUCUUUUUCUUAUAGAUAUGUGUUGCCUUGAUUUUUUAAGAUUUUCUAGGCCUUCUGAAGUUUGCAUUCUUGUACUAAACUUUCUCACAUGCUUUCUAUAAAAAACUUAUUGUUUUGUAUUCUUUUAUGGAGCAGGAGAAACUUGAUGGACUGUUGGUUUGUCCAGUGUCCUUGGAGAGGUGGCACUUUCACCCUCCAAUCCACUGUCACCUUUAGAAAUCUAUAAAUGUUGGAGUCAGAAAAUAAACUUGC